rnacentral:rRNA from 1 species
GACGUAGGGGGCGAACGUUAUCCGGAAUCAUUGGGCGUAAAGGGUGCGUAGAUGGCAUAAUAAGUUAUUAGUGGGAAAUCGAGGCUCAACCUCGUGGAAGCUAGUAAUACUGUUUUGCUUGAGUGCAGAAGAGGUUAACGGAACUCCAUGUGGAGCGGUAAAAUGCGUAGAUAUAUGGAAGAACAGCAAUAACGGCGAAGGCAGUUAACUAUGCUGUUACUGACAUUGAGGCACGAAAGCGUGGGGAGCAAAACGG